rnacentral:rRNA from 1 species
CCCUUAGAUGUUCUGAGCCGCACGCGCGCUACACUGACGAAGUCAGCGAGCAUGUCCUACGCCGACAGGUGCGGGGAAUCUUGUCAAACUUCGUCGUGAUGGGGAUUGAUUAUUGAAAUUCUUGAUCAUCAACGAGGAAUUCCUAGUAAGCGCAAGUCAGCAGCUUGCGUUGAUUACGUCCCUGCCCUUUGUACACACCGCCCGUCGCUACUACCGAUUGAAUGGUUUAGUGAGAUCUUCGGAUUGGCGCCACUGCGGCUCAGCAAUGGGCUCGGUGGAUGCCGAAAAGUUGAUCAAACUUGAUCAUUUAGAGGAAGUAAAAGUCGUAACA